rnacentral:tRNA from 1 species
GCGGCUAUAGCUCAGCUGGGAGAGCGCUUGCAUGGCAUGCAAGAGGUCGACGGUUCGAUCCCGUCUAGCUCCACCA